CAGGCUCCUGUGGGUGACUAAUGUCCUUUUACUUCUUCUUCUCCCAACCUGUGUGCCGCAGUGCUGCAGGGGAUAGCUUCCCAGCACGCCCCCCCCUCUACUGUGCAAGGGUGGCCCUGUCACCAUGCACCUGGGCAGAUGGCCUUGUGCUGCAGUAGCUUUCCUACAGAUCCUCUAGCCUGACCAGGAAGGACACCUUCAGCCUCUCUCCAGUCCAGUCACUGCCUUCUCUGUUCCCCACGAGACCUUUGAUGGCUCCCACUGAUUAGCUGCCCAAGGAAUGUAUGCCAACAUCUGCUCAAAGGUCAGAAUUCCAAACUGCAGAAGUCGAUUUCUCAGAUUUGAGUCAGUAAACAUUCUGCAUGGGGCAGAGCAACAGAUUUCAACAGCACCUACCUAGGGGACCAUCUGGAAACUGCCCAGUUUGGAGAGACGCAGGCUCCAGCCCAUGUUCUAAGCUUAGACUGUAUGUGCUGAGAUCUUCUGGGACCCUGGCUUUGAGACACGCACACUUUGACCUCACAACCCAGGCCUGCCCUGGGGCAGGAAGACUUCCUUGUAGUAUCAUAAUUCAGAAGGUGGGAGAGAACCUGACUUUGGGCUACAGAGAUUUGCAACCCAACUCAGGAACUUUCGGUUGGGACCGUGGUAACUCACAUAUAUUCCCCCCCCCCCCCCGAACUUGCACUUGGCAGCACCUCCCAACUUUGUUAAUGGAAACCUACUGAUCCGUGACACGCGCAUGGCAGACAUCUGCUCGGGGUAAUGCGCUGGUAAUGUACGUAUUGAUGAUCAAUCUGUGGAUUUGCAAGAGCGGCAUAAAGUAUUUAAUUAUAAUCACGUUGAGCAAGUCUGCGUGGUGGCAGCGACAUUUGAAUAGGUCACGGCCAGCCCUCACCCCUGUUAUGUUAUCGAUAUUAAAUGCCACUCACUCCUGACAUCCUGGGAUAUCACACGUUGGCAAACUGGAAAUGUCCCUUUGCUUCUAAGAACAUGAUUGAUAGCCUCCACAAAGUGACCGCCAAACCUCAAGGUAUACUAGCCUCACCUAGCACCGGCUUCACCUCUCCCGUCCGUGGUUGUGGAGAUGGCUUUUGGCAAUGAACCCGUGUGCAGAGUCUCCCUAAGGCCCCCUGUCUUGUUCAGGGAAUGGGGCUUUUCUGUUUCAAAACAGACUUUGCUAAUAAGAACAAACUGUACAGGGCAAGUAAGCAUCCCAAAGAUCAAACACAAAUUUUAUUUGCUCAGUUGGUAGCAGGAAAAAAAAUGUGUCUUUGGACAGUCUGAGCCACCGCUGAUGUAUGUACCGUCUGUGGCAUGAGCCAUCUAAAGUGGAUCCAAUGUGAUUUGAAUUGAUGCUUUUAGCAUACAUGAUGGACAGACUAAACAAGGACACAAACAGACACAUGACCUCAGUGCCCAUACACCAUCCUGACAGCUCAGACAAACCAGGACAGAGGAGGGAGCCAGCAUGGAGCAAGCAUGGGUCUGGGUUCCUGCAGGUGGCUUUGCUAGGUGGGGGAAUCUGCACCUUUGGAAAGCUCUGUGGAAAAGGGCUCCCUCUUUUCUUGCCAGGCUGGGGUGGGAACAGCUUUAGGUAAAGGCUAUGCUCAGCAGGGUCUGGAGGUCAGAAAGCAGCUAAGCUGCCUUAAAGUAGAUCCACAGCAGUGUCCCAGAACCUCUCCCAUUUUCCCUAGCCAGUAAAGACUCUAUGGAUCAGGUAUUGGAACAAAGACAUUAUUGCCUCAGCCCUGAAUGGAGGCUGGGCCUAAGAGAUCUCUCCUGUGACCCUAUCUUGCCUCUGCCCACCUUUCUUUUUCUGUGGCCCGUUUUUAAUUCCAAUUUUCAACUGAGACAGCCAGACUGGUUGGGGAGUGAUUUUGUCUUUCAAAGGACUAAUCAGAGAGCAUAUCAGAUUACUAAAUGCUCAAACUACGUCACUGCAAACAGUAAAUGCUGCAAAAAAAGGUGGGUGGGGUGGUGACAAAUGGGAACAGUGGGCAUAUAGUAUCUCAGUGCCUGAUAGUGUUUCUUAAACAGCCCGUCCCAAUGGCAAUAAAAUCGUUUACAUUUCACGUGGAGUUUACCUC
rnacentral:lncRNA from 1 species